GAGAAGGGCGAGGGAGACAGGGUUUAAGCCAACACAGUAUCCUCGGUGGCUUCAGCAAGUAGUAAUGCAAUAGGCUAAUGUUUGAUUAGUGAAAUUUGUGCAGCAAAUAGUAGUGCAGCAGGCCACGGUGUGUGAUAUUUGUAGUGCAAUGGAUGCUGAAAUCUGUGUGCUAUUUGUAUGUGCAAUGUGCAGGCUGUGUGCAACUUCAUGUGCAAUUUCAGAAUAGAAUACUACUGUAUCUAGCUCUGAAUUACAAGAGAUUGUCAACACUUAUAUAUUCAAUGUACAAGUUCUGAAUUAGAGUUGAUUAUGACCACUUUUUGUAAACAUCCUUAUAUGUUUGUAUUGUGUCCAAGAAGUUGUCAUCUUUCCGAAGACAAAGUACGGGUUGAGUAAGCUGUUUGGUGUUGGAAUCGGCGAGGUUGGUCAUGUUGGUGGUAUUCUCUUAUGUGCACGCCUCUGAACACCCAUCAAGGGGGAAUGCUUAGGAGCAUUUGUUGUACGUAAGCACAUACGGAAAUAAGAUUUUAUCUACUUCUGAGGAUAUGGUGGUAGAAACAACAAGGAGCAUGACCAGGAUAGGAGAGUACAGAGGGCUCUGCCAGUGCACUACAUCACAGAUGUCAUCUGUAGGAAUGAUGGCAUCAACUGUCAUUUGCACGUUUACAGAUUCACAAUGGAGGUGUCAUGAUCUCUAGCGGUAGCUAGCCUGGUUUGGAGGUGUUGAUCCUUCACAUCACAUUCGGAACCGUUCGCUCUUUGGUUACGAUUUGGCUGCCAUAUAGCGGAAUCUGGCUGAAAAAGGGAAACCAAACAGGGCCAAAAAUUCUUCGCAUUAUUCAGGUAUGCAGGAGAAUAAUGGAGUUGUUCGAUCUGGAGUUUAUUCCAAGGUGCAAAAUUUACCAAAAUGAACUAUAAUGCUAAUGAUUUUGUUCCAUUUAAUUUCUUGGGAGUUGUCGCACAUUAAAUUCUUGCCGCAAUCCCUCUAUAAAUUUUUAGGCGUUCUGAAUUUUGAUGUAGCCAUUCGUCUCAUAGCUGCAAUCGGAAGGCCAAAUUCAAAGUUCGGUCUUUUUCUGGAAACUGAAACAGUGGCAUAUAGUAUUUUCUUCCACUAUAUUAUAUCCUCUUGUUUUCUAGAGAACUGAUCAUACCUAUCUUGCUGGAUUUGUUUAUGAUCUGUGUUUUACUCUGGGUGUCUCUUGACAAAAAUGGAUAUGAAUGAGAGGCGCUCCAAGGAGCAAGAGAAAUCAUGUGUAAAUACAAGUGCACUUUGAUUUUUUUAUGCCAUUUAUAUAACUAAAAUAUUAAUGAUGGUUGUACAUAGAGUUUUAGACCUGUGGCUCUUUUGUUUACAUUUAAUCAUGUGUAAAACUUGGGAACAUGUAUGGAUGGACAAUACUAUGUGGAUUUGAUCAUUUUAUUGACUAAUUAUACAGCGUAUGAACUUAUAGAGUUUAGAGUUGUUUAUCCUGUUCUAAUGCUGGAGUUAAAAGUUUCAUGUAGCUAAUGCCAUCAUCUUUAUAAUAGAGCGGCAACAUACUCCGUAAGUUUUCACCCUACUCUAGGAAGCCAUUUCAUCAGUUUUUGGCUUCUGACACACUCGGAGCAACAAAUUUUGUGCUGCUAAUUGUUCUGUCCUCUCCGUUCUCUCUCUUUGCACUUACUUGUGAUUUUUGCUUAUGUCCG